rfam:Gossypium arboreum cultivar AKA8401 contig_778_1, whole genome shotgun sequence.
UAUUAAAAAUUUUAUUUGUUUUUAUUGUUAAAAAUUAGAGCAGUUGAUAGAAUAAUCAGUCAGUUACAUAUGAAGUAUCAUAUAUAUCUCAUUAUGAUUGAUAGGGAUUAGAUUUUAGUAAUAGAAAUGAAUAAAAUUUUUAAAA